GGAGGAGUCGUUUCGUGAGUUUUCAGUGAAAUCCAAUGCCUAAAACUAUGUAAUACACCAACCACUCCAUUUCAGAACAAACUUCGUACGAGCCUGAAUUGUCCAAUUCCAUGGACCAAUCGAUAUCGGAUUGAGUCCAAAACUUCGGGUACAUCAUAAUAUGAUUGGACGAGUUAUUUGGUGGGUUUUCAGUGAAAUCCAGUGGCUAAAACUACGCAAAAAACCUACACCAACCACUCCAUUUCAGAACGAACUUCGUACGAACCUAAAUUGUUCAAUUUCAU
rnacentral:lncRNA from 1 species